rnacentral:rRNA from 1 species
UGGUGGAGUGAUUUGUCUGGUUAAUUCCGAUAACGAACGAGACCUUAACCUGCUAAAUAGCCCAGCUGGCUUUUGCUAGUUGCCGGCUUCUUAGAGGGACUGUCAGUGUCUAACUGACGGAAGUUUGAGGCAAUAACA